UACGUAGGGUGCGAGCGUUGUCCGGAAUUAUUGGGCGUAAAGAGCUUGUAGGCGGUUUGUCGCGUCUGCUGUGAAAUCUCAAGGCUCAACCUUGAGCUUGCAGUGGGGUACGGGCAGACUAGAGUGUGGUAGGGGAGACUGGAAUUCCUGGUGUAGCGGUGAAAUGCGCAGAUAUCAGGAGGAACACCGAUGGCGAAGGCAGGUCUCUGGGCCACUACUGACGCUGAGAAGCGAAAGCAUGGGGGAGCGAACAGG
rnacentral:rRNA from 1 species